rnacentral:rRNA from 1 species
ACUCCUACGGGAGGCAGCAGUGGGGAAUAUUGCACAAUGGGCGAAAGCCUGAUGCAGCAACGCCGCGUGAGGGACGAAGGCCUUCGGGUUGUAAACCUCUUUUAGUAGGGAAGAAGCGAAAGUGACGGUACCUACAGAAAAAGCACCGGCUAACUACGUGCCAGCAGCCGCGGUAAUACA